rnacentral:rRNA from 1 species
UACGUAGGGGGCAAGCGUUGUCCGGAUUUAUUGGGCGUAAAGAGCGUGUAGGCGGUUAGGUAGGUCCGUUGUGAAAACCCAUGGCUCAACCAUGCGGUCUGCAGUCGAUACGGGCAGGCUAGAAUUCGGUAGGGGAGACUGGAAUUCCUAGUGUAGCGGUGAAAUGCGCAGAUAUCAGGAGGAACACCGGUGGCGAAGGCGGGUCUCUGGGCCGAUAUUGACGCUGAGGUGCGAAAGCGUGGGGAGCAAACAGG